AUGACUAAACGCCAAAAUAAAAGACAUGAAAAGAAGAACAUGAAACCAAACCCAAAACCCACAUUACAGAUCUCCUCGUCUCUCUGGUUGUUGCUGCUGCUGGCAGUUGUUUCUCGUGUCCACUGUGUUGAACUGACACAGACUGAAUCUAUGGUCUUAAGUCCUGGUCAGGUUUUGACACUGUCCUGUAAAAUCUCUGGAUAUUCAGUGACUGACAGCAACUACUGCACAGACUUCAUUCGGCAGCCUGCAGGAAAAGCUCUGGAAUGGGUUGGAGAGAUAUGUGGUGAUGGUAACACAUAUUACAGUGAUAAACUGAAAAGUAGAUUUCAAGUUACCAGAGAGUCUUCCAGCAGCACAGUGACUCUUCAAGGACAGAAUAUGCAGACUGAGGACACAGCUGUGUAUUACUGCGCCAGAGAGAGAGCACGCUGUGAUACAAAACACAAGCAGUUCUGGUCAUAAACAUCUUGAAUGAAACAAGCAAUCAAAAAUAGUCAACAAAAAUUACUCUUACUUACAUCAGUGUUUUACAGCUCAGCAAACGUCUGAGAAAUGACCCGCAGACUUUACUUUGAUGAUGUAACCUAAUAGUACAAUCAAUUUGGUUUAAUCAGAUUAAAUUAUAUUUUUGACUUGAACACAACCAAUUCAUUGGACUUUACCACAUGAAGGACAUUUUUAGAUUACCUGUAACUGUUUGCUAUGUAUAGUCACAUAUAAAGUGAAGGUUAAAGUCAAAGUUAUUCAUCUUUGAAGAGAAUACUGCUGAUAUUACAAUAGAGGGCACUCUCUGCCUUCGUGUGAUGAGUGUAGAUUUCUGCAGAUCAGGGAUGUUGAACAUAUUAAAACAUAUCGCUAACAUAGUUGAAUUUUAUUCUUUCUGAUGUAGGUCCAAAAUAACCAUACUUUCAGAAUCAGUGUUAUUACAGUCAACUAAAACAAUAAAAAUCCCAUUAUUACUUGAAAUAAAAUACAUUUUAACCAAAGUAAAAUAAAAUAGAAAAAAGUAAACUUUUUUUC